rnacentral:misc_RNA from 1 species
UCUCCGUAGGUGAACCUGCGGAGGGAUCAUUACUGAGUGAGGGCUUCGGUCCGACCUCCAACCCUUUGUGAACCAAACUUGUUGCUUCGGGGGCGACCCUGCCGUUCGCGGCGUGGGGCCCCCGGAGGCCAUUAAACACUGCAUCAUUGCGUCGGAGUUAAAGUAAAUUAAACAAAACUUUCAACAACGGAUCUCUUGGUUCCAGCAUCGAUGAAGAACGCAGC